UCCUGUCCUUAGUUUCUGAACACUAUGGCAUAUAGAGACUGCCAAUUGUGUGCGAGGCUGUCUGACCACUGUUAUACAUUUUGUAGCCAUCACUUCUGCGAAUCAUGUCUUCGGGCCAUCCAUAGAAACGGGAAAUGCCCCAUCUGCGGGUUGAGUGCAAAAUCUUCAGGAAAGGAUACAGUUGAUGAGAUCCUGAAGGGGCUGGGAUAUGGACUAGCCG